rnacentral:rRNA from 1 species
ACAGGUUAAUAUUCCUGUA